rnacentral:rRNA from 1 species
UACGUAUGGUGCAAGCGUUAUCCGGAUUUACUGGGUGUAAAGGGAGCGCAGGCGGCACGGCAAGCCUGAUGUGAAAGCCCGCGGCCCAACCGCGGGACUGCAUUGGGAACUACCGGGCUGGAGUGCCGGAGAGGUAGGCGGAAUUCCUAGUGUAGCGGUGAAAUGCGUAGAUAUAUGGAGGAACACCAGUGGCGAAAGCGGCUCUCUGGUCUGUAACUGACGCUGAGGUUCGAAAGCGUGGGUAGCAAACAGG